GCUGCUGUAGCUCAGUGGUAGAGCACUCCCUUGGUAAGGGAGAGGUCGGAAGUUCAAGUCUUCUCAGCAGCACCA
rnacentral:tRNA from 1 species